CACCGCGGUUAUACGGGAGGGCCCAAGCUGACAGACACCGGCGUAAAGCGUGGUUAGGAGUGCAACAAUUAUUAAAGUCGAAUGGUUUCAAGGCUGUUAUACGCUUCCGAACACCAGAAGCACAACAACGAAGGUGACUUUACAAUUUCUGAGCCCACGAAAGCUAAGGCA
rnacentral:rRNA from 2 species